GGUUCACUUUAACACUGAGGCGUGAUGACGAGGCACUACGGUGCUGAAGCAACAAAUGCCCUGCUUCCAGGAAAAGCCUCUAAGCAUCAGGUAACAUCAAAUCGUACCCCAAACCGACACAGGUGGUCAGGUAGAGAAUACCAAGGCGCUUGAGAGAACUCGGGUGAAGGAACUAGGCAAAAUGGUGCCGUAACUUCGGGAGAAGGCACGCUGACACGUAGGUGAAGUGAUUUACUCAUGGAGCUGAAGUCAGUCGAAGAUACCAGCUGGCUGCAACUGUUUAUUAAAAACACAGCACUGUGCAAACACGAAAGUGGACGUAUACGGUGUGACGCCUGCCCGGUGCCGGAAGGUUAAUUGAUGGGGUCAGCGCAAGCGAAGCUCCUGAUCGAAGCCCCGGUAAACGGCGGCCGUAACUAUAACGGUCCUAAGGUAGCGAAAUUCCUUGUCGGGUAAGUUCCGACCUGCACGAAUGGCGUAAUGAUGGCCAGGCUGUCUCCACCCGAGACUCAGUGAAAUUGAACUCGCUGUGAAGAUGCAGUGUACCCGCGGCAAGACGGAAAGACCCCGUGAACCUUUACUAUAGCUUGACACUGAACAUUGAGCCUUGAUGUGUAGGAUAGGUGGGAGGCUUUGAAGCGUGGACGCCAGUCUGCGUGGAGCCGACCUUGAAAUACCACCCUUUAAUGUUUGAUGUUCUAACGUGGACCCGUAAUCCGGGUUGCGGACAGUGUCUGGUGGGUAGUUUGACUGGGGCGGUCUCCUCCUAAAGAGUAACGGAGGAGCACGAAGGUUGGCUAAUCCUGGUCGGACAUCAGGAGGUUAGUGCAAUGGCAUAAGCCAGCUUGACUGCGAGCGUGACGGCGCGAGCAGGUGCGAAAGCAGGUCAUAGUGAUCCGGUGGUUCUGAAUGGAAGGGCCAUCGCUCAACGGAUAAAAGGUACUCCGGGGAUAACAGGCUGAUACCGCCCAAGAGUUCAUAUCGACGGCGGUGUUUGGCACCUCGAUGUCGGCUCAUCACAUCCUGGGGCUGAAGUAGGUCCCAAGGGUAUGGCUGUUCGCCAUUUAAAGUGGUACGCGAGCUGGGUUUAGAACGUCGUGAGACAGUUCGGUCCCUAUCUGCCGUGGGCGCUGGAGAACUGAGGGGGGCUGCUCCUAGUACGAGAGGACCGGAGUGGACGCAUCACUGGUGUUCGGGUUGUCAUGCCAAUGGCACUGCCCGGUAGCUAAAUGCGGAAGAGAUAAGUGCUGAAAGCAUCUAAGCACGAAACUUGCCCCGAGAUGAGUUCUCCCUGAGACUUAGAGUCUCCUGAAGGAACGUUGAAGACGACGACGUUGAUAGGCCGGGUGUGUAAGCGCAGCGAUGCGUUGAGCUAACCGGUACUAAUGAACCGUGAGGCUUAACCUUACAACGCCGAAG
rnacentral:rRNA from 1 species